rnacentral:rRNA from 1 species
GACAGAGGGUGCAAACGUUGUUCGGAUUUACUGGGCGUAAAGCGCGUGUAGGCGGCUUUGCAAGUCGGAUGUGAAAUCCCACGGCUCAACCGUGGAAGUGCAUCCGAAACUGCAUCGCUGGAGUCUCGGAGAGGAAGGUGGAAUGCUUGGUGUAGAGGUGAAAUUCGUAGAUAUCAAGCAGAACACCUGCGGCGAAGGCGGCCUCUGGACAAUGACUGACGCUGAGACGCGAAAGCGUGGGGAGCAAACAGG